AUGUAUUCCCUGUCCCAUAAUUUAAGAACACAGGAUAAUGAUCCAUGGAAGGAUUGUAGCAAUGGAGUUACACGGCAAGAGGAGGAAAAUGAUAGCCAGAUACACACGCACACAGCCGCCACCCGGUUCGCUUCUGAUCCUCUGGAGACCCCUCACCUACUGCCACUGCUGCUAAGUACCUCUCCCCGAACACACCAUAUUCUUGGGCUCGAACAUGGACGAGACCCACUGCUCCCUAGAGAACUUAUGGUUGAGUCUCUUCUCCGUUCUGGGCCAGCUGGUCCCUCCUUCCCCUGCCAUGGUUUUGUUGCUUGCCCCUUUGUCAGGUCGCUUACACUGGCCCAAGAGAUGAUGAUGCUUCUCUAUGCUGUUGGCCUUGUGAACCGAACUAGCACUACAUGGCAGGGCUCGUCGACUGGGUUCGUGACCAAUGACGCUCCCGGUGAAAAAGCCCUAGAUCGAGCGGUCAAAACAGAUCACGCCCUCAUCGAUUCCUUCCACUCCCUCGACACCACCUCUCCUCCACCCGGAGGGCGCCUCCUCCUUUCUCCCCACCUGCCUUCCUCCCCAUCUGGCAGCGCCUCCUCCCUCCUUCCCACGGCCUCCCGCACCGCGCGCCACCGGCUAGCUGCACCACCACCGCAUCCUCAUAUACUCCAGCCCACUAUGCCAGCGAGAGAGGAAGCUGCGGGAGGAGAAGAGCCCAUCCCAAGAGGAGACCCAUUGCUAGCAUCGGCUCCAGCGAUGCGGGUUGACGGCCAGUGCAGGCGAGCGCGGCGUGCAGUGCGGUGCCCUAGACAGGUGGCAGCGGCCGUCAAGACAGGAGCGGUGCCGCGAGCGACGACCCUUGGUCAUCUUCAGGUGCGCGUCGUCCGUGGUGGACGAUCAUGGGUGUUGGCCUGCAGUAGGCCGGUGCCCCUUAGCAAGAUUGGCACGAACUGGGAAGGGGCUGCCCAGUUUUGGAACAACAAACCAUGGAGGAUAUGGGUCUGCACGGGCUUGGAGCAGGAAGCCAUGGCGGCCAAGGCUAAGUGCUCAUGCUAUGGAAGUGACGAGGGCUGCCACAGUGUAGAAAAGGUUUUGGUGUUCUCCAUGCCAUUUUUUCUCAUAAUCCCCGAGGGCUACCGAUUUGAUCUUUUGUUGUUCCUGGUGUACCGAUUUGUGAAACUCACCUCUUAUGUCAAGGUGGGAAGCUUGGCUGAUUCCACCUCCACAUUUAAAGAAGUGGCAAUAAUUAGCCAUCCUCAUGCUGGUGAAUACGCAUUUGGGCUUAUAACAUCGAGCAUGAUUCUUCAGGUACAGUCGAAAACUUUCCCCGUCCCCCAGGCCCUGUGGGCUGCGACUGAACUUAGAUUUCUAAUCCCUAGCUUAACUUCCUGUAGAUUAGAAGCUGGAGCACAAGGAUUGUGUGAUGGAGUAAACAUUGGUUAUAUAUUUUAG
rnacentral:rRNA from 1 species